ACGGUGGGAGCAAGAUAGACUGGGCCUGGUUGGGUGAAAAAGGGGUGGAGAAAGGUGGGGUGGCACAGAGAGCCGCGGGCACGUAAAACUAGCGAACAAUUUAAACUCCCCUUUCAAGUCGUGACUUUGUUUAUGCGAACGAAAAUAAUUCGCUGGCGAGCAGAGCUAUCUCUCUCUCUAUCUUUUUCCCACGGGGCUGUAUUCCCGUGCUUUUCCAUUUUUCGCGGCUUCGGUCAUCGCGGAAGGAUAAAAAGGCGUGCUCGCGGCUGGCUAGCUCUGGUGUCGAUUGGGUGCUUCGAGGUUUCAUCGAGUUUGGUGGAUUUUUGUGCAGCGAAUAGCAGAGGAAAUAAUUGAAUAUCUAAAAUAUUGUGGACAGAAACAGUGAAUUUCAAUAACAUGGAAUAUAACGAAACAUGGAGGAAUUAUUAUUUGAAAAAAUAUUGAAGAAAUUCUUGAUAUGAAAAUCGAAUUUCCAGGUGACAAUUUUAAUAAGCAUUGCAGCCUAAACUGGCCGAAUUAUUCCAAGCUUCCCUCUUCUUCUGUUCUAAAAUUCAGCUAUCAAAUUAGAGAAACAAGGAAACAUCAUAUUAAAAAAGCAAUUGUACACAAUAGAAGAACUUUCCAAUAUAAAACUGAGCCACAAUAUUGAAAAUUUCGACAGGGGUUGAUUUCACAAUAUAAACUAACCAAAAACGAUAAUCGUAAAUUCCUUUAUUCGAUGCUCCAACGAACCAGAAGUAGCAAGUUAAAAAUCGAGGAAUUAAUAUUAGGAAUUAAUAGCUAAGAAAAAAUAUAUAUGAAAGGGAAAAAGUGUUCGCGAGAAAGAGGGAGAUCCAGGGACGAUUGUUUUGAGUGAAACACGGCAGGCAGACAUGGGGUGACGCAGGGGAAAACACAGAUAAUGGUGGCGUAACGUGGUUGGUAUGAGCCCUUGUCGACUAAAUAAUGAAAACUUUGCUCGUACAUUCCCGCUUAAAAGUGUUGGCACACCUACGUUCAACGGAGCUUUUCAUAUUUGGCGUAGAUCAUAAAUUUAAAAUUGUAUGCAAUUUUUAAUAAAAUUGUUGAUACAUUACCGGCACAUACAAAGCACCGAGUUAAAUGCAUUCUUAUAACAUAUUAUUGGAAAAGUUCCGAGUGAAUUUAACAAAGACGUGACUGUAGGUAGACCUGUUGUCAUUCGUAACUUCACGACACUUUCGUUCACAAACUUUUCCUCUUUUCCGACAAUCAAUUUCUCCGAAUAGUUUUUACAGGUGUACAAAGCUCGUGAAAACUAUCUAACUUUUCCGUAAAGAUU
rnacentral:misc_RNA from 1 species